ACUCCUACGGGAGGCAGCAGUAAGGAAUCUUCCACAAUGGACGAAAGUCUGAUGGAGCAACACCGCGUGCAAGAUGACGGCCUUCGGGUUGUAAACUGCUUUUAUAUGGGAAGAUUAUGACGGUACCAUAGAAUA
rnacentral:rRNA from 1 species